GACCGUCACGUGCCGGAGGCCGCGGCUGCUCGCGGCCAGACCUUCGCAUCGAGGGACGUGAGGGACAUUUGUCCUAGAGGGCCCAAGAUAAGAACGAGAGGAAGAACCGGGAGGCAACUCUCCGUCAUCCUCUAGCCCCCCGCAUCCUAGGAAACGUAUGGAAAACAAUGGAAGGUUAAGUGUGUGCACAGUGAUCUGGCCCUGCAGGAGUGUGCCGACCAGGUGAUAUUUCCUGGGGCCUGGUGAUAAGGAUUUGGAAGGUUACAGCACAGAGACGUGAACGUAAAAAGGAAACAGAGGCAGCAAGCAAAUGAGGAAACCGAUACUCUGUUCUGAGAAUAAAGCCAUUUUACCGCUAGACGUCAUACUCUGUAGACGUUAUAGUGCUGGAUGUCUUUGGUACUAUUACAAGAAAUUAGAUAUCUCUAUCUUUAAAUAUCACUUAAGGAAAUUAAAUGAUUUCUACAGAUCAGUUAUUUAAAAGGGCACUAAUUAUGAACUAUUUUUUUUAAACGUAACCCGGUUAAUACUAGAUACUGAGAAUUAUCAGUAUUGGCUGGGCGCAGUGGCUCACGCCUGUAAUCCCAGCACUUUGGGAGGCCGAGGCAGGCGGAUCACGAGGUCCGGAAAUCGAGACCAUCCUGGCUAAGACGGUGAAACCCCGUCUCUACUAAAAAUACAAAAAAUUAGCCGGGCGUGGUGGGGGGCGCCUGUAGUCCCAGCUACUCAGGAGGCUGAGGCAGGAGAAUGGCGUGAACCCGGGAAGCGGAGCUUGCAGUGAGCCGAGAUCGCGCCACUGCACUCCAGCCUGGGCGACACAGAGAGGCUAUGUCUCAAAAAAAAAAAAAAAAAUCUCAUUACUAUUAAUCAUUAAAUAUUUUUAAACGUAUGCUUUAAGUAGUACCACA
rnacentral:lncRNA from 1 species